UGAAAAAGACGGACCUAUUGUUUUCCGUGAGCCACAUUCGGGUUCGGUUGGGCUGGGGCUCACGGAGCCACCAAGUUGACUGAGCUUUCCCUCACUGGAGGCGGCAGUCUCAGCCCACGGGUGCUGUUGUCGGUGCUGGGAGUUGAGAUUGACUCCGCCGAAAACACUAGGCAUGGAACAAGGAAAAGUGAAGCCAUAGGUGCUGGAGGACUCGGAAGUGACGUAGGCAGAAAGCGCCAUCUGAGUCGUUAGAGCUCCGUUUUCAGCGCUAGGAGGAGAGAGUGUGUGGGAAGAAUGAAAGCCUGAAGUAUUUGCAGUUGGUGUUAAAAAGGGAUUUCCCUGUGUAUCUAGGUUGGCCUUGAAGUCACUAUGGAGCCCAGGCUGGCCUCCAACUUGGAAUGAUCCUCUUGCUGCGAUUAUAG
rnacentral:lncRNA from 1 species